rnacentral:rRNA from 1 species
CCUACGGGAGGCAGCAGUGAGGAAUAUUGGUCAAUGGGCGCGAGCCUGAACCAGCCAAGUAGCGUGAAGGAUGACUGCCCUACGGGUUGGAAACUUCUGUUAUAAAGGACUAAAGUGAGGCACGUGUGCCUUUUUUUAUGUACUUUAUGAAUAAGGAUCGGCUAACUCCGUGGCAGCAGCCGCGGUAAUACGGAGGAGGCGGGCGUUUUCCGGAUUUAUUGGGUUUAAAGGGUUCGUAGCCGGAAUAUCAAGUCAGCGGUAAAAAUUCGGGGCUCAACCCCGUCGUGCCGUUGAAACUGAUGUUCGUGAGUGGGCGAGAAGUAGGCGGAAUGCGUGGUGUAGCGGUGAAAUGCAUAGAUAUCACGCAGAACUCCGAUUGCGAAGGCAGCAUACCGGCGCCCAACUGACGCUGAAGCACGAAAGCGUGGGUAUCGAACAGGAUUAGAUACCCCAGUAGUC